GGAAAAGGCACAUUCGUUUUCAAUAAAGGCUAUGAACUAGAUGGAAUAUAUCUCGUCGAAGAAGACGAAAUGACUUUCGAUAGUGUUGAUAAGCCGGAGAAGCAAAUACGAUGGGUCGCCACUGGAGAACUAGCUUUGUGUACAAAUUCUCAGGAACCAAAUGAAGAAAGUUGAAACAAACACAGAAAAAAAACACAGGCAAAGGAAUUUGUGAUCCAUAAUUUUCCGCUGUUCAUUGAUUGCCAAGUGAAAAGCGAAAGUUGCAGUUCCGAGAGUCUGUUCCAUGAAAACUAAAAUUAAUUCAUAGAAAUGGAUCCUCGUUUUUUUCGAAUCCUUUAACAAAAUAAGAACAGCGACGUUAGAACGAAUUGUUUUUGAAAAUUGUUCUUGAAUAAAAGAUGUAGUCUUUCCGACAAAA